rnacentral:rRNA from 1 species
GAUGAACGCUGGCGGCGUGCCUAAUACAUGCAAGUCGAGCGAACGGACGAGAAGCUUGCUUCUCUGAUGUUAGCGGCGGACGGGUGAGUAACACGUGGAUAACCUACCUAUAAGACUGGGGUAACUUCGGGAAACCGGAGCUAAUACCGGAUAAUAUUUUGAAUCGCAUGGUUCAAAAGUGAAAGACGGUCUUGCUGUCACUUAUAGAUGGAUCCGCGCUGCAUUAGCUAGUUGGUAAGGUAACGGCUACCAAGGCAACGAUGCAUAGCCGACCUGAGAGGGUGAUCGGCCACACUGGAACUGAGACACGGUCCAGACUCCUACGGGAGGCAGCAGUAGGGAAUCUUCCGCAAUGGGCGAAAGCCUGACGGAGCAACGCCGCGUGAGUGAUGAAGGUCUUCGGAUCGUAAAACUCUGUUAUUAGGGAAGAACAUAUGUGUAAGUAACUGUGCACAUCUUGACGGUACCUAAUCAGAAAGCCACGGCUAACUACGUG